GAGACUGAGGUGGGAGGAUCGCUUGAGCCCAAGGGAACCAGACCAGCCUGGGCAACAUGGCGAGACCUAUCUCUAGGGAUCACGAGGUCAGGAGAUCGAGACCAUCCUGGAUAACACGGUGAAACCCCGUCUCUACUAAGAAAUAUAAAAACUAGCUGGGCGAGGUGGCGGUGCCUGUAGUCCCAGCUACUCGGGAGGCUGAGGCGGGAGAAUGGCGGGCAGGAGGCAGACUUGCAGUGAGCUGAGAUCCGGCCACUGCACUCCAGCCUGGGCUACAGAGCGAGACUCCGUCUCAAAAAAAAAAAAAAAAGUAAAAAUUGGCAGGGUGUGGCCGCGCCCGCCUGUGGUUCCUGCUACUCAAGAGACUGAGGCAGGAGGAUCUCGUGAGCCCAGGAAGGUGAGGGUGCGGAAGCCGUGAUCACAGCCUGGGGGACUGGGAGAGACCCUGUCUCUGAAAAAAUUAAAAAAAAAAGGGAGGAGCAGCUCGCCCCACAUCUCCCCCACCCGCCAGGCAGAAGAGACCCCCAGAGACUCCCGCGCUCGCGACAGGGUCCCGGGAAACAGACUAUACGUCCUCCCCAGCACCAGGACGCUGCUCAGAGAGGCCCCUCCGGACUGGGGGCAGCCACCCAGCUGCCGCCACCGCGUUCUAACACCGCCCACUAGGAACAAUGGCUGGAGCAGAGGCUCCCGGGACUCUCGGCCUCCGGGUGCGGAUCCUGGGGGACUGGCCCCUCCCCCCGCCGCCCCUCCCCGGUUCCCUCUUCUCACUCUCCGCCCUCAACCGCCCUCCUCCCAAAAUGGCGACCAACCGCCUCCUUUCCCGCCAAGCCGCCCCUCGGAGGAGCAGCCGAGAGCGCGCGGCCAGGAGGCACGCGCCGGGAGCCCGGGCGGUGCGCGGCGGGCGCGAGGCCGCUCUGGGAGGCGUGAGGUGGCCCGCGGUCACGUACGCGCGCCCGCGCCGCGUGGCAAAAGAAAUUGAGAGUGUCCUGCAUUUACCACUCAGCGUUCCAGGAGGACAUAUCCAAUGGUCUGCUUGUCACCUGAACCCCCUCCCUGUGGGGCCUAAACGGGGGUCCUCCUGUUCCCUGGAGAUUCACUUACUUGCCCUUCUGGUGAGUUUCCUUCCUUUGCACAUCUGCUUUGUUGGAUAGAUGUCUUUCUUUUUCAAGAGGGUUUCUAAGCAAUCCCAAAGCCCGUACUAAGGGUGAGAUCAUAGAAGUUACUGCUUUGGAGAAGUCAAGUAGGGAAAAGGGCUGUUUAUUGUGCAUGUUGACCAGUUAGGAGGAGUGCAGACAGAUUGAUGUGUGUUUCUUUAUUGACAUUUAUUGCAAAAAACGUUUUUCCUUCCCUAGCUCAGGGUAGCAACUCCGAUACUUACACGUAAGGCACAGGUAAACGGAAGAAGUAAGGAUUGUGGUGAACCAAAGAUUGUAUGUCCCAUCCAAGUGAUGCCAGUCAGUGGAAAUGCCAGGCCAGUGUUGCCAGAACUUUUGAUUUCUGUGAGAAAAGGCUUUCUUUGAGAAAAGGUUUAUUCUGAUUUUUGUUUGUUUGUUUUGUUUUUUUUGAGACGGAGUCUUGCUCUGUCGCCCAGGCUGGAUUGCAGUGGUUGAUCUCAGCUCACUGCAACCUCCACCUCCUGGGUUCAAGCAAUUCUCUGCCUCAGCCUCCCUAGUAGCUGGGAUUACAGGCACCUGCCACCAGGCCCAGCUAAUUUUUUUUUUAUAUUUUUAGUAGAGACAGGGUGUCACUAUGUUGGCCAGGCUGGUCUUGAACUCCCGACCUUGUGAUCCACCCACCUCGGCCUCCCAAAGUGCUAGGAUUACAGGCAUGAGCCACCGCGCCCGCCUGAAACCUUCUGAUUUUUAUUUUUAUUUUAUUUUAUUUUAUUUAUUUAUUUAUUUAUUUAUUUAUUUAUUUUUUGAGACGGAGUCUCACUCUGUCACCCAGGCUGGAGUGCAGUGGUGCGAUCUCGGCUCACUGCAAGCUCCGCCUCCCGGGUUCACGCCAUUCUCCCGCCUCAGCCUCCGAGUAGCUGGGACUACAGGCUCGCCACAGCGCCCGGCUAGUUUUUUGUAUUUUUAGUAGAGACAGGGUUUCACCAUGUUAGCCAGGAUGGUCUCGAUCUCCUGACCUCGUGAUCCACCCGCCUCGGCCUCCCAAAGUGCUGGGAUUACAGGCUUGAGCCACCGCGCCCAGCCAACCUUCUGAUUUUUAAAUGCUAGUAACACAUUUGGUAAUUUAAGAAUUAAGACAGUGUAGGCCGGGCACAGUGGCUCAUGCCUAUAAUCCCAGCACUUUGGGAGGUGGAGGCGGGCAGAUCACCUGAGGUCAGGAGUUUGAAACCAGC
ensembl:lncRNA